AUGUGUUACUUAUCUUUUAGUCUUGGGUUCUCUACCUCUUGGGUGAAUAGACCUCAGAUGAGUCUCAUUUCCAUUGGUAGAAAAGCCCGAACUGAGGGGACUGUGCCUGGCAAUGGAUACAGUUAUCACAGAGCUGAUGGCUUGAAAGAUUUUGGUGGAGUUUUCCAUGUAGUCUUGGGGAUUCAUAGAGCUGUCUUGGGAGCCACACAGGGCUUGGGGGAAGCAGGAAUUGAGAAGGAGGCCACUGAGCUGAGCUGGCUGGAGGCACCCCUUGCAUUUCUCAAACAGAGACGCUCCAUAUUUAACUAAUUUAUAUAUUGGGCUUCUGCACAAAAUUUUCCUUGAAGAAGAGUUCCCAAUUAUAUCAAAAUUUGAAAUCAGUUACCGGUGAGCCAUAGUUUAUUUAACCAUUUUGCAUUUGUUGUAUAUCCAGUUUUUCUCUAGUUUAAGUAAUAUCAUGGACAACUUUGUACAUAUACAUAUAUGCAUAUAAUUACAUAAUAUAAAUAUAAUAUAUUAAAUACAAUUAUGUGAUAUAUAAGAAUAUAUUAUAUAUUUUAAAUUUAUAAAAUAUGUACAUAUAUAAUUAUUUCUCUGAGAUGUAUAAAUAGAUACAGACCCAGAUACCGGGUCAAGCAUAGAUACUGUUAUAUUGUUCUAGAUAAAUAUGGCCUGGAGAAUGGUUGUGCAACUUCAACUCCUGACAGCAGUGUAUAGAAGGACCUGUCUCAUAGUACACAAAGUCCCUUUUCUUGGUGGUAUUUUCCAUUUGCUGGUUGAAAAGCAACACAUCGCUGUUAUUUUAAUAAGUAAUUAUUUUAUAUGGUGAGGCUAAACUUUUAUUCACAUGAUUAUAAGUGAUAUUUUCUUGCAUGAAUUUUCUUUGCUAAUAUUUCUGUUGGAGCACUGGUGUUUUUCCAGUGGAUUUUAAGGUUUAUAAGUAUGCUUUGUUUAUUAAGGGUAUUAAGCUUUUUUCUUAUUUGUGGCUAUUUUUCCAGUUUGUCACUUAAGUGUUAUGAUAUUUUUUAUAUCAUUUAACGUUUUUUAUGGAGUCCAAUUUAUCAGUUAUUUGCUUUAUGACUCUUUCCAUGGCUUUUACACUUGGAAAAUCUCUUUCCAUUUACUUAGAUAUUCACCUAUAAUUUCUGAUCGUCCAAUAGUUUCAUUAAAAAAAUUAACAUUAAUUCACAAGAGUUGAUUUGGCAUUAAGAUAUGUUUUGUUUUUAACUUAUCAUAGCUAGGUUUUGUGCUAUUUUUUUGAAUAAUCCAUGCCAGCCUUUUUGGAUUAUUAAUGCGUAAGGAUGCAAUUGAUUUUAUAUAUUGACCUUUGGUACAACAACUUGGCUAAACUGUGCUAUUGACUCUGGUAGUUUACUUGAAGGGUUUCUAAAUGGAAAAAAAUAUCAUCAGGAAAUAAUUAUUGUUUUGUUGCUUCCUCUGCAACGUGUAUGCCACUUAUCUUUUCUUCUUCCCUUAGCCCUCUGGUUGGGGCAUCUGGUGCAAUGUUGAAUAGAAGCACGUAUUGAUUGUGGGUAUCCUUAUCGUGUUCUGGUCUUCAAAAGGAACCCUCCAUCUUCGCACAGUUUGGGGUAAUUGUUGUAGACUUUCAAAAGAUUCUGUGUAUCAGCUUAAGGAAAUUCACUUUUAUGUUUGUUUGCUAAGAAUUCUUUAAAAUGGUGAAUUACUUUUCAAUAAUAAAAACGUCAUAUCCCUCA
rnacentral:lncRNA from 1 species